GUCCUGGGUCCAACCAGGCCUGCUGAGUAGAAACCAUUUGUCCAGGGAAUCAACCAGGUGUCCUGGUCACAAAUUGUCCUGGGCACCAACCAGGUGUCCUGGGCACAAACCAUUUAUCCUGGGUACAAAACCCAGUGUCCUGGGCACAAAUCAUUUAUCCUGGGUACAAAAUCCAGUGUCCAUUUGUCCAGGGGACCAACCAGGUGUCCUGGGUGCAAAUUGU